UACGUAGGGUGCGAGCGUUAAUCGGAAUUACUGGGCGUAAAGCGUGCGCAGGCGGUUUUGUAAGCCAGAUGUGAAAUCCCCGGGCUUAACCUGGGAAUGGCAUUUGGGACUGCAAGGCUUGAGUGCGGCAGAGGAGACUGGAAUUCCUGGUGUAGCAGUGAAAUGCGUAGAUAUCAGGAGGAACACCGAUGGCGAAGGCAGGUCUCUGGGCUGGACACUG
rnacentral:rRNA from 1 species